rnacentral:rRNA from 1 species
UGGGGAAUAUUGCACAAUGGGCGCAAGCCUGAUGCAGCCAUGCCGCGUGUGUGAAGAAGGCCUUCGGGUUGUAAAGCACUUUCAGCGAGGAGGAAGGUGGUGAGCUUAAUACGCUCAUCAAUUGACGUUACUCGCAGAAGAAGCACCGGCUAACUCCGUGCCAGCAGCCGCGGUAAUACGGAGGGUGCAAGCGUUAAUCGGAAUUACUGGGCGUAAAGCGCACGCAGGCGGUUUGUUAAGUCAGAUGUGAAAUCCCCGGGCUCAACCUGGGAACUGCAUUUGAAACUGGCAAGCUAGAGUCUCGUAGAGGGGGGUAGAAUUCCAGGUGUAGCGGUGAAAUGCGUAGAGAUCUGGAGGAAUACCGGUGGCGAAGGCGGCCCCCCUGGACGAAGACUGACGCUCAGGUGCGAAAGCGUGGGGCAGCAAACAGGAUUAGAUACCCUGGUAGUCCACGCUGUAAACGAUGUCGAUUUGGAGGUUGUGCCCUUGAGGCGUGGCUUCCGGAGCUAACGCGUUAAAUCGACCGCCUGGGGAGUACGGCCGCAAGGUUAAAACUCAAAUGAAUUGACGGGGUC